AGUGAACGCUGGCGGCGUGCUUAACACAUGCAAGUCGAACGAGAACGGGUUAUAGUUUACUAUAACUGUCAGCUAAGUGGCGCACGGGUGAGUAACGCGUGGGACCUACCAUUCUGUAGAGGAUAACUAUUGGAAACGAUAGCUAAUACUGUAUACGCCCUUCGGGGGAAAGAUUUAUCGCAGAUUGAUGGACCCGCGUCUGAUUAGCUAGUUGGUGAGGUAAGAGCUCACCAAGGCGACGAUCAGUAGCUGGUUUGAGAGGAUGAUCAGCCACACUGGGACUGAGACACGGUCCAG
rnacentral:rRNA from 1 species